rnacentral:misc_RNA from 1 species
UUUCCGUAGGUGAACCUGCGGAAGGAUCAUUAUUGUAUAACCGGGGUGCGCGGGCUGUCGCUGACGCGAAAGGUCGUGCACCCCCGAGUGCCCUCACACACAUCCCUCUCACCGCUAUGUCCACCACCGCGUGCGUCCCCCCUUGGCUUGUUCGUAGGUGGGCGGCCGUUUUCACUCAUACUUUGUUUGCAGUGUAGAAUGUAUUUUUUGUUUUUGCUUGUUCGUGAUCAAGACAAAUUUCAAAAACGGAUCGCUUGGCUCUCGCAUCGACUACGAACC